rnacentral:rRNA from 1 species
UGUGAGCGUAUACCAAAGUUGUUGCAGUUAAAACGCUCGUAGUCGGACUUUGGCAGUUCCGGAAGUGUGCACGUCGUGUGCGCACUUUGCGGGGACUGCUUUUGUGGUCUUGCGUAGGAUGAGGCACUUUCAUUAGUGAACGUCCUCACGCAACCACUCUUUACUGUGAGAAAAUCAGAGUGCUCAAAGCAGGCAUUUGCCGUGAAUGUAUUAGCAUGGAAUAAUAGAAUAGGACUCGGUUCUAUUUUGUUGGUUUGUUGGGACUGAGUAAUGAUUAAGAGGGACAGUUGGGGGCAUUUGUAUUCCGGCGCUAGAGGUGAAAUUCUUAGAUUGCCGGAAGACAAACUGCUGCGAAAGCGUCUGCCAAGGAUGUUUUCAUUGA